AAAAACAAAAUCGAGGUAACAAACUAAAACCGAGGGAAACGCAUUAAAUAUAAGAGGAGAACAACGACACAACACUAAAAUGUAACACACACAGAAACGGACCAAGCAUCAGACAAAAUCCCACGAGAAUAACAAAUAUAACAUCAAAACCAAAUACAUGAAUUUGGGAUAGACAAGUACCGUGACACGUCUUAUCGCAAUGUGAAAUUACACUCAAAAAUAAGAGAAAACAAACGACGCAACGUUGAAAUGUAACACACACAGAAACGAACAAUAAUAUAACAAUGGCC
rnacentral:lncRNA from 1 species